AAAGGCGUAAUGAAAGUGAAGGUUCGCCUAGCGCGAACCGAGGGAGGAUGGACGGUCUAUCGUGGCCGUCCCGCACUCCCUGGGCGUCUCGUUCUCAUCGCGAGAAGAGGCGCACCAAGAGCGUACACGCUGGGACCCGAAAGAUGGUGAACUAUGCCUGGUCAGGACGAAGUCAGGGGAAACCCUGAUGGAGGUCCGUAGCGAUUCUGACGUGCAAAUCGAUCGUCGGAACUGGGUAUAGGGGCGAAAGACUAAUCGAACCAUCUAGUAGCUGGUUCCCUCCGAAGUUUCCCUCAGGAUAGCUGGCGCUCGCUUCUCGCGAGUCUCAUUCGGUAAAGCGAAUGAUUAGAGGCAUUGGGGUCGAAACGGCCUCAACCUAUUCUCAAACUUUAAAUGGGUGAGAUCUCCGGCUUGCUUGAACUGUGAAGCCGCGAGAUAUCGGAUCAGAGUGCCAAGUGGGCCACUUUUGGUAAGCAGAACUGGCGCUGUGGGAUGAACCAAACGCAAAGUUAAAGCGCCUAAAUCGACGCUUAUGGGA
rnacentral:rRNA from 1 species